UACGAAGGGGGCUAGCGUUGCUCGGAUUUACUGGGCGUAAAGGGCGCGUAGGCGGACACUUAAGUCAGGGGUGAAAUCCCGGGGCUCAACCUCGGAACUGCCUUUGAUACUGGGUGUCUUGAGUGUGAGAGAGGUGUGUGGAACUCCGAGUGUAGAGGUGAAAUUCGUAGAUAUUCGGAAGAACACCAGUGGCGAAGGCGACACACUGGCUCAUUACUGACGCUGAGGCGCGAAAGCGUGGGGAGCAAACAGGAUUAGAUACCCGUGUAGUCC
rnacentral:rRNA from 1 species